rnacentral:rRNA from 1 species
UACGGGGGGGGCAAGCGUUGUUCGGAAUUACUGGGCGUAAAGGGCUCGUAGGCGGCCAACUAAGUCAGACGUGAAAUCCCUCGGCUUAACCGGGGAACUGCGUCUGAUACUGGAUGGCUUGAGUCCGGGAGAGGGAUGCGGAAUUCCAGGUGUAGCGGUGAAAUGCGUAAAUAUCUGGAGGAACACCGGUGGCGAAGGCGGCAUCCUGGACCGGCACUGACGCUGAUGAGCGAAAGCCAGGGGAGCAAACGGG